CGGCGGACGGGUGAGUAACACGUGGAUAACCUACCUAUAAGACUGGGAUAACUUCGGGAAACCGGAGCUAAUACCGGAUAAUAUAUUGAACCGCAUGGUUCAAUAGUGAAAGACGGUUUUGCUGUCACUUAUAUAUGGAUCCGCGCCGCAUUAGCUAGUUGGUAAGGUAACUGCUUACCAAGGCAACGAUGCGUAGCCUACCUUAGAGGGUGAUCGGCCACACUGGAACUGAGACACGGUCCAG
rnacentral:rRNA from 1 species